rnacentral:rRNA from 1 species
UACGGAGGAUGCGAGCGUUAUCCGGAUUUAUUGGGUUUAAAGGGUGCGUAGGCGGGUUAUCAAGUCAGCAGUAAAAUCGUGGAGCUCAACUCCGUCCAGCCGUUGAAACUGAUGAUCUUGAGUGGGCGAGAAGUAUGCGGAAUGCGUGGUGUAGCGGUGAAAUGCAUAGAUAUCACGCAGAACUCCGAUUGCGAAGGCAGCAUACCGGCGCCCGACUGACGCUGAAGCACGAAAGCGUGGGUAUCGAACAGG